UACGAAGGGGGGCUAGCGUUGCUCGGAAUCACUGGGCGUAAAGGGUGCGUAGGCGGGUCUUUAAGUCAGGGGUGAAAUCCUGGAGCUCAACUCCAGAACUGCCUUUGAUACUGGCAAUCUAGAGUCCGGAAGAGGUUAAUGGAAUUCCCAGUGUAGAGGUGAAAUUCGUAGAUAUUGGGAAGAACACCAGUGGCGAAGGCGGCUAACUGGUCCGGUACUGACGCUGAGGUGCGAAAGCGUGGGGAGCAAACAGG
rnacentral:rRNA from 1 species